UACGGAGGGUGCAAGCGUUAUCCGGAUUUACUGGGUUUAAAGGGUGCGUAGGCGGCCUUCUAAGUCGAACGUGAAAUCCCCGGGCUCAACCCGGGAACUGCGUCCGAUACUGGAAGGCUUGAAUCCGGGAGAGGGAUGUGGAAUUCCAGGUGUAGCGGUGAAAUGCGUAGAUAUCUGGAGGAACACCGGUGGCGAAGGCGACAUCCUGGACCGGUAUUGACGCUGAGGCGCGAAAGCCAGGGGAGCAAACGGG
rnacentral:rRNA from 1 species